ACAGGGAAAGACCUACCGCAUGCAGGCAAGCCUAGGUGAUUGCCGCAUGAGAAAGAGCAAGGCUAAAAAGGAGAGAGCAGAGGAAUCAAUCAGCCGAGCUGGACAGCGAAAUGAGCUGCGAGCAAGCAAGAAGCAAUCAAUCCAGCAAAAGAACAACCCCCAUCCUAGCACGUUGCAAUGUCAUUCGUGCAAGCAGGCAAGGACGUCAGCAUGCAGGCAAGCUUACGAGACAAUCACAAGACAAGGAUCCAGGGCUAAAAGGAGAGCAGGGAAAUAUUG
rnacentral:lncRNA from 1 species